rnacentral:rRNA from 1 species
AUGUGUACAUCCACGAAGCGCCUCCUGUCUUCGUCCAAAGACACACUUCACUUCAAGCUUUGUGACUGCGUCGAUGAUCGCCUAGUAGGAAUUCUCAAGUACGACCUGAGCACUAAUUGCUUAUCAUUGAUUGAUAUGCCGCUUGCUGAUGAUGUUAUCCUCAUGGCGAUGGAGGAUGACAGUUUGGGGUUUGCACAUGUGGUUGGGUUAAUCCUCAAUCUGUGGUCAAGGCACAUGGGUUCUGACGGAGUUGCAUCAUGGACUCAGCGUACAGUCAUCAAUAUCAACAACAUCCUUCACAUUCGAAAUCCAAAGAAAAGACUUAGGCUGAUUGGAUCUGUGAAAGGCACCGAUAUCAUUUUCGUGACCACGGAUCUUGGAAUCUACAAGAUUAAUCUGAAGUCACUACAGUGGGAGAGAGAAAAGUUUCAAGCUUUCAUCCCAUACAUGAGUUUCUACAAUUCACAAGCAAGCAAUGUUGCUGAAGAGUGUAGCACGCGAACUGGAUCUCGAGCUAUAAGUUCAGUGAACUAUAGGAUAUGGGGCUGCAUGGCUAUGAAGAUCUCAUAG